UGGGGAAUCUUGCACAAUGGGGGAAACCCUGAUGCAGCGACGCCGCGUGAGCGAUGAAGGUUUUCGAAUCGUAAAGCUCUGUCCUAUGGGAAGAUAAUGACGGUACCAUAGGAGGAAGCCCCGGCUAACUACGUGCCAGCAGCCGCGGUAAUACGUAGGGGGCGAGCGUUGUCCGGAAUUACUGGGCGUAAAGGGUUCGCAGGCGGCAUGACAAGUCCGAUGUAAAAGGCGAAAGCUCAACUUUCGUAAGCAUCGGAAACUGUCAAGCUUGAGUGAAGGAGAGGCAAGUGGAAUUCCUAGUGUAGCGGUGGAAUGCGUAGAUAUUAGGAGGAAUACCAGUGGCGAAGGCGACUUGCUGGACUUCAACUGACGCUGAGGAACGAAAGCGUGGGUAGCAAACAGG
rnacentral:rRNA from 1 species